rnacentral:tRNA from 1 species
CAUUCUAAAGCCAAACUGGUUAAGGCUUCGCUGAUUAUAAGAGAAGAUGCGGGUUCAAGUCCCGCUGGAACGG